UGCAUGUUGAGCACUGGAAAUUUUGUGAAUCCAAAAAGAUUUUAAGACUUCAAAAGAAGUGGCUUUUUAGUUGUUGCUGUAUGUCCACCAUGGAGAGGAGAAGGAGUAUCAGAAUUAUUGCUCUAGAAGAGAAGAAAAAAGAAGAAAAAGAAAGAAAGAUGGCAUUGAUAUUGGACAGAAGAAGCAAUUCACACAACAAAGGUAAAGGAAUUAUAAUCAAUGAAGGGAAUGA